rnacentral:sRNA from 1 species
AAACCAUACCAUAUCCCACCAGAGAGGUAAGUGGGAGCUGAGAGAAGAUGAGACCCAGGGAGGAGCUACUGCACAUGAUACAGGAGAAUACAUGGGAGGGUCUCUUCCUCAGGGAGCACAGGAACUCUGAGAUUCAGCAAGGGUGUCCUGGGAGACCUCAGGGAUGGGAGAGUACACAGAUUCACAACUCAUUCAGAACUGUAGAAGAUGAUGGAUGUGACCAAGAUCACUUUAGUCCUAGGGGACUACAGAAGGAAAAAGACAUGAGGCAGUAGGGUAUCUGUAUGUUCUCCCACUGACCACACUUUCUUUAGUGACUCCUGAUUGCCUUCUCAAGUCACAGACACUAUGAUGCCUCCCAUGGCCCUGCCUAGCGUAUCUUGGAUGCUGCUUUUCUGCCUCAUGCUCCUGUCUCAGGUUCAAGGUGAAGAACCCCAGAGGGAACUGCCCUCUGCACGGAUCCGCUGUCCCAAAGGCUCCAAGGCCUAUGGCUCCCACUGCUACGCCUUGUUUUUGUCACCAAAAUCCUGGACAGAUGCAGAUGUG